rnacentral:misc_RNA from 1 species
GAGAGAAGACAUAUUGUUGAGGUACGUUAUUGUAAUUGCAUUUUUACAUGGUCACAAUGUAUCAGGUCUUUGUGCAUCCACUUGGAAACCUCUGUAUGAAUCUAUAUCCUCUUUACUCCCUGCAGCAAGGUUUUAAGUAAUAGAAUUGCUUGUUGACUUGGAUUGAAUCAGCUGCUGCUACUGUGGCUACUUUUACUGAACUAUCGUAUUGACUUAACAAUAAAUCAAGAACUAUAGUGAAUACCAUAGUAAGCUUGUAGAUUUAAAAAUUUAUAGUAAAA